rnacentral:ncRNA from 2 species
ACGCCCGUGCGCGACUGGCGAUAGGCCGGGGCCGGCCUAGCCGUUCCCGCCGAGGUGGGAUUACCACUGGGGAGCGCACAGCCAAUUCAGCCGUUCGCCUGGGCAGCCCCU